AAUCAGCAGGGGGUCAAAUAUUUUUUCCCUCACUGUAUGUUUAUUGAUGUUUACAGUGGAAAUGUUUCAUAAUGUAUGUGCAGCAGUGAAGGAUGGGGUCACUUUAAAUGGGAUGACGGGCUCAUAGUAACAGAUGGAAUUAAUGGACAUUCAUUGUGAGCUGUCCUCCCAUCACCAGCCUCCACUGGUGUGUAAAUGCUUGAAUAAGAUUUUGGUAAUCCUUCUCUCCUGUAGGUAGGGAAUGCUGAUCACUACAACAGCUGCCUGCAGUCUCUGAAGAGGGGUACCCCAGUUAGAGGCUACAACAGCUGCCUGCAGUCUCUGAAGAGGGGUACCCCAGUUAGAGGCUACAACAGCUGCCUGCAGUCUCUGAAGAGGGGUACCCCAGUUAGAGGCUUUAAGGAGUUCUAGGAUAUACUAGUCCAAGAUGGCCUGACUCUGAUCAGCACGGAUGAGGUGGAUGGAAGCACCAGCCAGGUGCAGUAGAGUUGCUAACUAGCUCCUGUAUUACAGGGUUGAAGAUACCCAGGUCCUGACUGCGGAGGAGAAGAGAGAUGGCAGCAGCACCUGUGGUGGACGAUACUGGAGAUGUGGACCACUUGUAUUGUAGGGGCACUCUACCUUGUGUGUGAUGUGAGUUCUAACAUGGUUCUGCGCCUCUACCUGUCCAGCUGGACAUGAUGUG